rnacentral:lncRNA from 1 species
AGGAUGAUCAGGGCGGUUUUCGACAUUUGGGUUGUCUUAAUCCAAUUUCAAUAUAGUUACUUUCGUACUAUUAAAUUUCUUUCUUGAAUUUAAAUUUUUUUUGGAGGGCCUGAUGUUUGUUCUGCUUUGGGGUUGUCCAAAUCCAAUGCUUUGCUGGGCUUACCCCAAUACCGGCACGAGGAUGACAAGAAUUAGCAUCGGAAAAAAUCCAACGUAGAAUUUUUCUUCAAACUAUUCUAGCAGCAGCAAGAGUCGUAAAUGGAAAGGUCGUUUGCCAAGGACGUACAAGGUAAUUUACAGAACAAAUCCUUCCCAAGUAAGGCGGUUGUUUUUAUUUACUCUAUUUUUCUUCCCAAGUAAGAUAAGUUACAGAACAAAUCCUUCCCAAGUAAUCAAAUUUAACCAUUAGAUUACAAUUUAUGUGGACCACACACCUUUGAAAAGAUAAAAAUAAUAUUUUUGGAGAAAAAAAUAGUCUCAGGUCAGUCAUUAGAUUAAUUCAAAUGGAUUUUAACCAUAAAUAAUGGGAGAUAAUUUAAAAUAUUUAAAAACAGUUGUGUCUUAUGUACAAGUCUUAAUUCGUUUAUCAAUCCUUUGAAUACUUGAAUAUUUAUAUAUUUUUAUAUAUUUUAAAUGACAAAUACAAAUACGAUAGAUUCAAACACAGAUGCUGACGUGUCAAACACAUCUCAUUCUGUAGAAAACAAAUUAAACUAGCUAAGUUAAUAUGUGUACAUGUCCUAUUCAUUUUUCAAUUUUGUGAAUACUUGGAUAUUUAUUAUUUUUUAUAUAGUUUAAAUGACAGAUAUAAAUAUGGCAGAUCGACAGAUACUAUGUGUCACACAUCUCAGUCUACAAGAAAACAAAUUAAAUCAGCUAAGAUGAUAUGUGUUUGACACAUCAACAUCUUUAAAUUAAACCAAUUGAAUUAAUACGUGCGUGAAUCUGUAAUUUAUAUCUAUGCACCUAAGGGUAUGUUUGGCUGGUGGAUUAGGAGGGGAUAACUUUUUUCCUCGGAUAAUUUUUUCCCCCGCGUUUGGCUGGCGGAUAUGGGCGGAUAUGGAGGCGGAUAUAUAAAUUUUUCCCCCGGAUAAUUUUUCCCCUAGCAGGUGGAUAGAGGCGAAAAUGUUUAGGUGACCUAGAACCCUAACAAAAGUUAUCCGGGAAUAAGGGGGGUGGGGAUAGAAAAAAUAUAUAUAAAGAGAAACAAGGUUAAUUUUUUUUUAUAUAUAUAGAAAAAAAUAAACAUAUUAGAUUUUUAAUAUCAAGAUAUUUUACAUUUGUUUCUCUCAAUAUCUGUACUCCUUGUAUAUCACACCUUAUCCACUCAUUCUAAAAAGUAUCAAAAAUAAAGUUAAAAGUUAUCUCCCUUCAAAACUUAUUCCCCUUCUAAAAAUUAUUCUCUCUAAAAGUUAUUCUCCUCCGAUCCUCUAGCCAAACGGACCCCUAACCUCAAUCCAUCCCCCCUAGAAGGGUAACCUGGCUAUGAAAUUUCCAAAUUUAUAUAGCCAUUGGUCCAAAUGCAUUUAUGAAGGGCCCACAACAUUAAAUUCUAUGUUUUGAGGUUAACCUCAACUUGGCUAAAGCCGCUUCCCACGUGAUCCCGUGGAUGACCAAAUUGAAUGGUUGACAAUUCAUAGGAGGAUAGUUUUCGCAAACUUUGGUUUUUUCGAAUUGCACUUUUUUAUAUUUUUAUUAAAUAAAAUUACUUAAAUAUAUUUUUAUAUUAUUAAAAAUAAAAUAAUACAAAAUAUAAAAGUAUUUGGAUAAUUUUAUCUACUAAAAAAGAAAGUGCAAAUUAAAGAAACAGAAAUAAAAAAAUCAAGGACGGCCAUGUACCUAGAGUGAGUACAUUAAUAGAUAUCAGGUUCUAAGUUGCGCUAGCUAAAUUAAUUCAAUUUUAAAUUUAUUUAUAAUUUUUUUUACCUGAUUUUAUUAUUUUUAAUGAUUAAAAUUUCAUUGUUUUUUAUCAAAAUUAUUUAUCUUUGUCUUUUAGAUAAUUUGUUGAGUAUAACUUUAAUUUUUUAUAUUUUAAAAUUAUUUUUGUUAAGAGAAAUUAAAAAAUUAAAAAAUUUAAUUUAACGAUAAAAAAAUGACUAAAACAAAAGCUAACAAAACAAAAUAACUAUGCAAGACAAAGGCCGGCGGCCGGCCCCCUAUUGAAAAAUAGGCAUGCAUAAAGACAAGGGCAGCGCUAGCUAGACACGGUGCAUACUUGGCAGAGAUUAUUGUACGAUUUUUUUUGUUUUAAAAAUUGUAUCAGAGUAUUUGAUAUAAUUUUUAUUUUUAUUUUUAUUUGUGAAUUAAGAAUAAUUUAUAAAAAUUAAAAAAUAACUGAUUUUUUGAAAGCUUUAUUAUGAAAUUUUUCAAGUUAUGUUCAAUUGUAUUAAACACCCUCAUAAAAUAUGAAGUCUAUUCAUUUAAGGUGUGUUUGGAUAAAAAAUUUAUUAAAAAGAAAAAAGAAAAAGCUCCGGACUAAAUUAAAUUUUUGAGCGAUUGGAUUUACAAUGUUUCUUCUUUAAUUUUUUUUUUCCUUCAUUAAAUUGUUAAUAUUGAUAAAAAGAAUUUUUUUUAAAUUUAGGAUAUUACUAAUUUGACUGCUGUGUAAUUCACACUUCGUCUUGGUAAUUAGUUACUCCCACCCCUGACAACCCCACCCCUUAACGUGACUAAUAAAUUUUUUUAAUUUUUUACUUUUACCAUAAUUCCCCUACCAACUUCCACUUUACCAUUAACCAUUUAAUUCUUUUUUUUUUAAUACCACUGUUAUUUAUUAAAAAGAUAUUCAAAAAUUUUUAAUUUCUUUUAAUUUUAGCUUCCGAAAUUUUAUAAUUUCUUUUACUCCCACCUUAUAUUUUUAUAAAAAUAAAAAAUAUAGAGCAAGAUCUGUAAUAAUUUUUUAAAUUUUCUCUCAAUUUAUAAAAUUUAAUGCAAAACUAAUUAAUAUAUAUUUUUUUAAAACACUAAAGCGAAACAUUUAGAAUUUAUUCAACUAAAUAAAUUUCACUCAACUACAUAAAUUUUUUUUAAAACACUAAAGCGAAAAAAAAAAUAUCUGGAUUUUUAGCUUUAAUUUUUUUAUCUUAAAAAAUUUAUGUUAAUUAGUUUUGUAUUAAAUUUAUAAAUUGAGAGAAAUUUUUAAAAAAAAAUUACAGAUUUUGAUCCAUAUUUUUUUCUUUUAUAAAAAACUAGAUGUGGGAGUAAAAGAAAUUAUAAAAUUUUAUUAUAAAAAUUUUUUUAUAUAAAAAUUUAGAAGGUGAAAGUAAAAAAAAAUUAAAAAUUUUUGAUUAAAUUUUUUUUAAUAAAUAACAAGAAGGUAGUAUUAAAAGGAAAAAAAAUUAAUAGGUGAGAGAGAGAUGAGAGAGAUAAGAAGAAGGGUAAAAUUGAAAAAAAAAAGAAUUUUAUGGCACAUCAUCCCCCCCUGUCAGGGGGAUUGGGGAAAACAGUUCUCUUCAUCUUGGCACCACCAGGCCUGAAUUGGGACCAAAGUUACCAAAACACCCUCAUGAUCAUCCUUAGCCCUCAAAGUCCUAGAACAAUGAAAAGAUAUAUUUCAUACAUACAAUAAUACACUUGUGAUAGCAAUAUCCAUGACUCAUCGCAAGCACAUAUCUAGACAAAAAUUCAAGAAGAAAAAUGUUACUUUACUUAAAAUAUAUAUCAUAAUAUGGUACUAAAAGAUUCACAAUUAAUCAUGUUAUUCGGUAUUCAUCGGUUUUCAAGUCCUCUAACAGGUUAGUUAUCCCCAACCUGAGGCAGGUCUUGAUCUUUGUGGGGCCUUCCUUGUGCCUAUGUGGCGCGUGGACGAAGCUUCCCAUGAACCUAGAGUCCUCGGUCGGAUCGUCCUUGUCGUUGAUGAGCACAUCGAAUUGAAAUUCUACCUUGGAACCUUUUUGAAAAGAUGAGUUCCGACAAGGUUGAAUAUUGAAUUCCAACUAAUCACUAAUAAUUCUAUGUACUAACAAAAAAAGAUGAUAAUAAUAAUAAUAAUAAUAAUAUAAUUAUUUUAAAAAAUUCCCCAUAAAAAGAAAACGAACUUAUGAAAUUUUAGGUCCAAUUUUACCUCAGUGGUGGUUGAUGUUUUUUCUGCUGCCAUGGCCAAUUGCCUCCUCCUUCCUGGGCACUUUCAAACUGAUGGAGGAUCUGAACUGGAUUGCUGGACAGCACCAUUAAAGUCAAUGCAACAUCAAGGGAAAAAGAUUAGGUCAAAUUAAUAAAAUACUUAAUGGUGGGAACUGGCUCAAACUAUUACUUUAUAUAUUACUUUGGAGAAAACUCAUUUCAGUGGCAUAUUGAGAAAAAUAUAUCAAAUUAGAUGUAUAAUGCAAAAUUAUCUCCAAUAAAUGGAGACGCAGACAUCUAAAAUAAUAUUAUAAAUAUGAGAUUAUUCGUUAAAUGGCGCCAAUGAAGUGAGUGGAAUGAUUGUCUGAUGCAAAUAAAAAAGUGAAUAGUUGAAUAUUUUUUUAGGUAAAACACUUGCAUCUCACACUUAUUUUAUUUGUACGAGAUAGAUAAUUUAUUUACACUCAGUCUUAUAUUUUUUUAGAAAUUCGUUUAGUUGACGUUUCUUAAAACUUAUUUUUUUGAUAGUUUUUUUAAAUAAUUAUUUUUGAGAAAACAUUAGAUAUACGUUUUUAAAUUCUUGAAAACUAUUUUUAUUAGAAACUAAAUAACAUAUGAAAAAGGUAAAUGUUUAGAGCAUUCAUAUUAGUUUUACUAUUUAUUCAUUCUAUUUUUAAGAAUUUUUUUCAACCAUCAUAUUUGUUAAAUGGUCAUAUUAUUCCAACGGCGAUAUUUUUUAAAUGAUAUAUUUUUAAAAUGGUUAUAUUUUUAAGAAUGUCGUAUUAUUCAAACGGUUGUAUUUUUUAAAAUAUAUUUUAAAAUGAACAUUUUUUUGACUCAUAUAUUUUUAAUUAAAUGGUAUACAGAUAAAAAAACUAAUUUUAAAAAAUAAAAUAAUUUAAAAUAAAUAUUUUCAAUAAUUAAAUUAUUAAAUAUUAACUUUUAUCCAACUUGAUACCUAGCAGCCUAUCCUCUUACAGCGUCGGCAAAGACUAUGAAUUCUUGGGGACCGCAAAACUUACCCUGAUCCGACUAUAGCGCAUAUGUUCAAUAAUCAUGUUUAAUAAAUACAAAGUCUACUAGUGUAAGAAAUUAAAAUUAUAUCAUUUUUCAUAGUCAAGACAAAAGUAUUAAAAUUUUGCGCUCCAGUCUUACUGAUAGUGUAUCUAGUUUCAUCUAAGAUUUUGAACAAUAUAAGUCUAAUCUUUCGUGUGUAAGCAGUAUUCUUCUACACGUCAAAUUAUCUAUUUUUUAGAAUAAGAGACAUCCAUGCUUAAGUAUUAAAUAAAUAAUACAAAUACAAACAUUACUUACACAAAUUAUUAUUAUAAUGGAAUAAAUAAUUUAUUAAUAACACUAAAUUCAUUAAUAAUUGAAUAGUUUCUAUGAGUGAGUUGUCAAAUAAAACCUUAUCUAGUCCAGAUUGGGAUGGGCCCACUCCCUUAUCGUCAACCAUCGGAUGAGAAAAUCUAACACGUGAAAGAAAUAUACCAUACUGGUAGUGGUCCUGCCUAGGGAUGGCAACGGGCCGGUUGGGCCUCCCCCACCCCCACCCCGACCCCGUUUAUCAAAACUCACUCCCGCCCUCGCCCCACCCCGCCCCAUUUAGUAAUUUUAUUAAUUAUAUAUAUAUUUUUUUAUAUAAUUAUGGUAUAAUAUAUAUAUAAUAAGGAUAUUAUGAUAAUUUUUUAAAAAUCUGAUUAAUUUUUAUUUUUUUAUAUAAAUCGGGGAAACUCGGGCGGGUUUCGGGGUUGGAGGAGGCUUUUACCCCGCCCCGCCCGUGUAAUCGGGUGUUAAUUUUUUCCCCAAACAGCCCUAAAACGGGACCGGGGCCUGACGGGACGGGUUCUUAGGGUCAAAUUGCCCAUCCCUAGUCCUGCUCUUUGGUACCCGAAUUUCCACAAAGCAUAUUCUUUUUUUUUUUAAAUAAAAUGAUGUGAUGGCCACAUUAUUUAUGUGCUUAUGCUAAGAUGCCAAAAUUAGCUUUAAAUUUUUUUUUGAGAAACUCAAUUUAGAUUCUUUUUAACUUUUAAUUUAAAUAGUCAAGUAUUAACGAAUAUUUAGCUACAACAAACACCCAUGACUAGAUUUAUAGUCUCUACCUUAGUAUUAUUAUGGUUUUUCGCUCACGAGAGCCAAAAUGAAUAUUUAGUGGGAUCAAAAAAAUUAAAAUUUAUAUUUUGCGAGAUUAAAAGAGUUAGAAUUUAUGUUCAGUGGGGUUAAAAUUAUAAAAUAUAUAAAUUUUAUAAUAAAUUAUUAAUUUUUGUAAGGUCAAAAUUAUAUUUAUGAUAAAUUAUAUUAAAAAAAAUGAUAUAUUUUUUUUCAAUGGGGUCAAUUAACCCCACUUGCUCCUACAUGACUCCGACACUACUUUCGCCCAAGGUGAACAAAAUGAUUAUAUUCAUAUUUGACUUAAAGUAUAAAAUGUUAAUUGACAAAAAUUAAAAGUGAAAAGCAUAAAUUGAAACUUUGAUGAAAGUGAAAGGGUAAAAAGUGUAAGUAACCAUUCUUAAGUGAACUCCCAACUACUGGGUAUUACAAAGUUGUACUACAAAUGAGCUUGUAGUACAAAGUACAAACAGAGAUGGUUCAUUAAAUUAUAAAACCUAACACAAUCCCUAUAUGGCAUUGGAAAAAAACUGUCGAAGAUUUUUCUUCAACCUAUUCUAGCAGCAGCAAGAUUCGUAAAUGGAAAGGUCGUUUCUUUGUUAGCAUUCAAGCCAAGGGCGUACAAGGUAAUUUACAGAACAAAUCCUUCCCUGAUUGUUUUUAUUUACUCUAUUUUUCUUCCAAAGUAAGGUAAUUUACGGAACAAAUUCUUCUCUUGUAAGGUAUUUUAGUCAUUAGAUUACAACUUAUGUAAGCUCUACACUUAAUAAGAAAGUGAUAUUUUUUGAGGAAAAAAAUAGUUUCAUGCGAAAUCUCAGCUAGUGGAUUAACUCAAAUAGAUUCUAACAGUUUGAAAGAUAAUUUAAAAAAUUUAAAAAUAUUUAUGUUUUAUAUUAUAGAUAUGUACAAGUCUUAAUUCGUUUAUCGAUCCUUUGAAUACUUGGAUAUUUAUAUAUUUUUUUAUAUUUUAAAUGACAGAUACAAAUACGAUAGGUUCAAACACAGAUGUUAAUGGGUCAAACACAUCUCAUUCUAUACAAAAACAAAUUAAACCAGCUGGGUUAAUAUGCGUACAAGUCUUAUUCAUUUUUCAAUUCUUUGAAUACUUGGAUAUUUAUAUAUUUUUUAUUUAUUUUAAAUGACAGAUAUAAAUACGGCAAAUAGACAUAUACUAAAUUAUAUGGUGUGCAUUUGGAUUAAAGAUUCAACAACUUAUACUAUUAAAUCGUUGAAUACAUAGCCCGAGAGGCUUGUUCAUCACAAGUGGCUUACAGUACGAAAAACAAAUGAAAUAAGAAAAAUGCUACUUCUACAUAAACCAUACAUAAAAAAUCUCACAAAACGAUGCAAUGGUGACUUAUUUUAUUUUUAAAUGAAACAUGGAUUCACGUUCU